ACCUUUGUAGUAUACAAGUAUAUCUGACUUCCAAUCAGAAGGAUCAAUUGACAAAGGUA
rnacentral:tRNA from 1 species